GAGUGGGUGGAGCAUGCGUAUUACGAGGCGGGCGCCCGGCCGAUGACAUAAAAGGCGGGCUCGAGGAGCCGCUCGCGGCGUUUGUGCUGCUGCGGCGUGGGUAUGGCGUCUCGUGGGCGGAGACCGGAGCACAGCGGGCCCCCGGAGCUGUUUUACGACAAGAAUGAAGCCCGGAAAUACGUGCGCAACUCACGGAUGAUUGAUGUUCAAACCAAAAUGGCUGGGCGAGCAUUGGAGCUCCUUUAUCUGCCUGUGGAUCAGCCUUGUUACCUGUUGGAUAUUGGCUGCGGUUCUGGGCUGAGUGGAGAUUACCUCUCGGAUGAGGGGCACUACUGGGUGGGCAUUGAUAUCAGCCCUGCCAUGCUGGAUGCUGCCUUGGACAGAGAAACGGAAGGAGACUUGCUUCUGGGGGACAUGGGUCAGGGCAUCCCCUUCAAACCAGGCUCCUUUGAUGGUUGUAUCAGCAUUUCGGCUGUACAGUGGCUCUGUAAUGCUAACAAGAAGUCUGACAUUCCUGCCAAGCGGCUGUACUGCUUUUUUUCUUCUCUUUAUUCUGUUCUGGUCCGGGGAGCCAGAGCUGUCCUGCAGCUGUACCCUGAGAACUCAGAGCAGUUGGAGCUGAUCACAACCCAGGCCACCAAGGCUGGCUUCACUGGUGGUGUGGUGGUGGACUACCCCAACAGCGCCAAAGCCAAGAAGUUCUACCUCUGUUUGUUUUCUGGACCUACGACCUUUAUACCAAAGGGCCUGGAUGAAGAUGAGGAAGAGGAGGCCAGGGAGUCCACGUUCACGACUGAGAGACUUCUAGGACAUUUAAGAGGCAAGAGGGGCAGACGAUGGAUGAAUUUGGAAAUCCCACGAAUGGUGAAAAUCAUGAGUGUGGCCCUUCUGUCCACCACGGGUUGGUGCCCUCUGGCCCUCUGGGGUCCUCUCCCUUACCUUCCCCAGCCCAUUCCCCACAGGGACUUGGGGGCCUCUCCCAGAUGUUUCUGCUCUAAGGUGCCCAUCACUUGCUCACAGGGAGUGGUCCCACCUGCUGCUCCAUGGGGAAGGUACAAGUGACUCCCUCCGUCCAUCUUAGGCUCCCUCUUGUCCUCAUACUGGUGCCUACAGAUGACAUGUCCUAACUGUAAACUUAGGGUCCCAUGUAGGAUGCUGAGACGGGGGCUGGUGAGGAAGAGCCGAGGGUGGGUGCUGGAGAAGAAGGCGCGGCGCCGGCGGCAGGGCAA